rnacentral:rRNA from 1 species
UACGAGGGGAGCAAGCGUUGUUCGGAUUUACUGGGCGUAAAGGGCGCGUAGGCGGUCGUGACAAGUCACUUGUGAAAUCUCCGGGCUUAACUCGGAACGGUCAAGUGAUACUGUCGGACUAGAGUACAGAAGGGGCAACUGGAAUUCUCGGUGUAGCGGUGAAAUGCGUAGAUAUCGAGGGGAACACCUGCGGCGAAGGCGGGUUGCUGGGCUGAUACUGACGCUGAUGCGCGAAAGCCAGGGGAGCGAACAGG